UACGUAGGGACCGAGCGUUGUCCGGAAUCAUUGGGCGUAAAGAGCGUGUAGGCGGCCAGGUAGGUCGGUUGUGAAAACUGGAGGCUCAACCUUCAGAGGUCGACCGAAACCAUCUGGCUAGAGUCCGGGAGAGGAGAGUGGAAUUCCUGGUGUAGCGGUGAAAUGCGCAGAUAUCAGGAAGAACACCAAUGGCGAAAGCAGCUCUCUGGGACGGUACUGACGCUGAGACGCGAAAGCGUGGGGAGCGAACAGG
rnacentral:rRNA from 1 species